UACGUAGGGUGCGAGCGUUAAUCGGAAUUACUGGGCGUAAAGCGUGCGCAGGCGGUGAUGUAAGGCAGGUGGGAAAUCCCCGGGCUCAACCUGGGAACUGCAUCUGUGACUGCAUUGCUGGAGUGCGGCAGAGGGGGAUGGAAUUCCGCGUGUAGCAGUGAAAUGCGUAGAUAUGCGGAGGAACACCGAUGGCAAAGGCAAUCCCCUGGGCCUGCACUGACGCUCAUGCACGAAAGCGUGGGGAGCAAACAGG
rnacentral:rRNA from 1 species